rnacentral:rRNA from 1 species
CCUACGGGGGGCAGCAGUGGGGAAUAUUGGACAAUGGGCGAAAGCCUGAUCCAGCCAUGCCGCGUGUGUGAAGAAGGCCUUCGGGUUGUAAAGCACUUUCAGUGGGGAAGAAAGCCUUGGGGCUAAUACCCUCGAGGAAGGACAUCACCCACAGAAGAAGCACCGGCUAACUCCGUGCCACGCAGCCGCGGUAAUACGGAGGGUGCGAGCGUUAAUCGGAAUUACUGGGCGUAAAGCGCGCGUAGGCGGUCUGAUAAGCCGGUUGUGAAAGCCCCGGGCUCAACCUGGGAACGGCAUCCGGAACUGUCAGGCUAGAGUGCAGGAGAGGAAGGUAGAAUUCCCGGUGUAGCGGUGAAAUGCGUAGAGAUCGGGAGGAAUACCAGUGGCGAAGGCGGCCUUCUGGACUGACACUGACGCUGAGGUGCGAAAGCGUGGGUAGCAAACAGGAUUAGAUACCCGGGUAGUC